rnacentral:lncRNA from 1 species
AACUUUGAUAAGUUUUUUGGAUUCCUGUAGCAAAAAUUAUUAAAAAACUAGUAUUAUACAAACUUGAUAAAAACUUGAGGUUUCAAACAGGCCCAAUAAUAGAACUAGAUUUUUUUUCCUUUUCUAGCUAGAAAGUGAUGAGAUUUACGAAAUAAGGGGGAAAAAGGGAGAAUUGAAAUCAUGAUCUCUAAUUUUUGAAGUUCAAAUUUUAGUCGCUGGAUUAAAACCUCCUCGAUCAUGACAACUCUUUUCUUUACCAUUUUCCAGUUAAGAAAUCUUGCCCUCAUGAAAGCUCAACCAGUUGCAUGUCUAUUAGUUACGAUUAUGACAGUUCGCGUAACUAGUGACUUAAUAUGAUAUUAUUUGGAUGAAACUUAGUGUUGGUUAAUAUAAGCUCUAAUAGUGACAUAAUAUCCAUCUAAAGAACAUAAUUCACCUAUUUUUGACUGGAAAUGUAUCCCUUUCAAAUUUCAACCAUGCUCUGUCCAACAAGUUAUUAUGCCAAUUAGUUAAUCUGGAUCAUAUUAUUAUGGACAUUAUUACUCAUAAUCGGCAAAUUUCCAUUAACUGACAGCGCUUGCUUCAUAAAGAUGUUCCAUUAUGGUGUACGGGACUACUUAUUCGGGUUUAAAAUCAAUGACCAAUUUCAAAUGCUGGAAAGAAUGAUUACGCUAACUAGAAUUUCUUCUUUUUUUUUUUUUUUUUACAAGGGAAGGAUGAGAUUUAAAAAAUGAAAUAGAUAAAUCAACGAAAAAA